rnacentral:lncRNA from 10 species
CUAGAAUGAGAAUGCACAGCAAGCGGCAGACAAUCACCCGGCAUUCGGCAUCUCUUUCUUUUCACGCGCUCCCUCGCUCCGCCUUUCUCCAGCUCUGCCUUCUCAGGCAGAUACAUCAGAUACCUUGUUUAUCCAUCUUCAGCUCCACUCUGAGGGCGCAGACGCACGAUUCCGGGAUCGGGUGCACCACGGCGAAGCCCAGGCGGGAGACGGCAGGAGCAGCUCAGAUGAAGAAACUGAAACCCACAGAGAUGAAGUAACAUCCUCAAGAUCAAAAGGUAACAAACGAUUGAGGCAGGAUUUGGAUAUUGCUCUACAUGACGGGAAAGCCUGUGCUCUUGGAAUUACAGUCAUAGUACAACAGAUCAAGUUCAAAGCAUCAUCUAAGUCAAGGAAAACCAGUAAAGAGGUUUGGAGAGACAAACAGGGUCAACUCCAGGCAUUUGGGUCAGCAGAAACGGCACGAUUGAGCAGCACUGUGACUAUAGGAUCAUGGAUCAGAGGCUGCUUCCUCUUUGGUUCUGGGCAUCAGCCUCAUGUCCACUCAAAGUAAGUGGCCCCUCUGAUUGGAAUCGGAGGUGCCUGGGUCAUCUCACAGAGCCAAACAAAUACAAUUAGCUAUUGCAAAGCCUUUUGGGAAUUAUUCCCAGUGUAAAUAAACACAUAACCAUAUAGCAAGAGCCUUGAUAAAGUCCAAAAACAUGCAAACUUGGAGUAUCUAAGAGAAAAGACCACAAUGUAAAUGAAAAACCAAAUAAACUCGGGCAAACCAUAGGAUAGGGCCCUGUCUGUGAUGGCCUGCAUAUGAUGAGCCAUAGAAAAAGGAUGGUGAAUUCUGGAUAAUAAGAAAUGUCAAUGAGAUGCAAGAACCACCUGUUUUAUGUAAAGCUCCAAAUAACCAGAUCACAGUGGACAGCCACUCAAAUAAUGCCUUCAUAAUACAGAGUAUUAUUGAGAAUAACUCAGUUCACAGAGAGCUUAAGGCAGCCAAUAUUUGAUAGCCUGUCAGAAAAAAACAGAACAGUAAUUAUAGAAAAGAAUCAUAUCCUCGGAAAAACAAAAAUUAAUCAAACUAAGUUUGUAAAGUCUAUCUUACAGACACAUUGUCUGGACUGGUCCUCUCAAAAAUACUGUUUUUUUUUAAUGCCAAUUUGUUUAGUUAAUGAUUUUUGUCUUAUUACUUCAAAACUGGAAAUAUCCUAUGACUCAUAAUAUCUUACAACCUUUCUACUUUCUUAAAGAAUCUCAAGUUUAUAAUCACAGGGGAUCGGAUUAUUUUUCAAAAAUUAAAUGGUGAUGUAAUGAUUUCUGUGUCUAUUGUAGAAAAGUCAACCUUAUUACAGCUGCAACAAUGGCAUUAAGAAAUAUGAGUAAUUCCAAUCAACUUGAGAUAAUGUCUAAUCAAACACAAAUACAACUGGUAAAUUUCAUUAAAUAGCAUGGAGAUUAAAUUAAAACACUAUUAUGUAAUAAAAACCUUUAGUGGUACUAAAAUUUUAGAAUAGUUCAGAUAUACAGAAAAAUUUCAAAGAUACACAGAGUUCCCAUUUUUUUCCUAUUACUAACCUCUCAUAUUUGUCACAACUAAUGAAUAUUCAAUAGAGUAUUAUUAACUAAAGCCUAUACAUUUAUUUAGAUUUCCUUAGUUUUUAGCUAACAUUCUUUUUCUUUGUUCCAGGAUCCCAUCCGGGCCACCACAUUGAAUUUAUUUGUCAUUUUAGGUACCUCUUGGCUGUGAGUUUCUUAGACUUUCCUUGUUUUUGGUGACCCUGACAGUUUGAGGGAGUACUAGUCAGUCAGUUAUUUUUGCAGAAUGCCCUAAAUUUGAGUUUGGCUGAUGUUUUUCUUAGGGUUUGACUGGGGUUAUGGGUUUUGGGGAGGAAGACCACAGAGGUGAAGUACCAUUCUCACCAAAUUAUAUUAAAGGUACAUACCAUCAGCAUGCCUUAUACUAUUGAUGUGAACUUUGAUUGCCUGGCUGUGGUAGUGUUUGUCAUGUUUCUUCACUGUAAAGUUACUCUUCUCAUCACCCACUUUUCUGUACUGUACUCUUUGGAAGAAAGUCACUAUAUGCAUCCCAAAUUUAAGGAGUGGGAAGUUAUGCUCCACCCAUUUGUAAGCAGAAAAUCUACAUAAUUUGUUUGGCAUUCUUCUGCAUAGGAAAAUCAUCUCACUCUCCCAGUUAUUUAUUUAUUUGAUCUUUUUUUAUAUCAGUAUGGACUCAUGGGUAUUUCUUUUAUACUUUGGGUUAUAAUCCAAUACUAACACAAUAAAGAAAUUUUUAAUGGAGAUGCA